GACAGAGGGGGCAAGCGUUGCUCGGAAUUACUGGGCGUAAAGGGCGCGUAGGCGGGAUGGCAAGUCGGUCGUGAAAUCCCUCGGCUCAACUGAGGAUCGUCGAUCGAUACUGCCGUUCUUGAGGAUUGCAGAGGAGUCUGGAAUUCCCGGUGUAGCGGUGAAAUGCGUAGAUAUCAGGAGGAAUACCGAUGGCGAAGGCAGGUCUCUGGGCUGACACUGACGCUCAUGCACGAAAGCGUGGGGAGCAAACAGG
rnacentral:rRNA from 1 species